UAGGGAAUUUUCCACAAUGGGCGAAAGCCUGAUGGAGCAACGCCGCGUGAGGGAUGAAGCAUUUCGGUGUGUAAACCUCUUUGGAGCGGGAAGAACGCCGUUUGGGUGAACAAUCCAGACGGGUGACGGUACCGCUAGAACAAGACACGGCUAACUUCGUGCCAGCAGCCGCGGUAAUACGAAGGUGUCAAACGUUGUCCGGAAUAACUGGGCGUAAAGGGCGCGUAGGCGGUCGCGUAAGUCAGAUGUGAAAGCUCUGGGCUCAACCCAGGAAUUGCAUUUGAUACUGCGUGACUAGAGUUCGGUAGAGGAGGGCGGAAUUCCAGGUGUAGCGGUGAAAUGCGUAGAUAUCUGGAGGAACACCCGUGGCGAAGGCGGCUCUCUGGUCCGAUACUGACGCUGAGGCGCGAAAGCUAGGGUAGCAAACAGG
rnacentral:rRNA from 1 species